rnacentral:rRNA from 1 species
UACGUAGGGUGCAAGCGUUGUCCGGAAUUAUUGGGCGUAAAGAGCUCGUAGGCGGUUUGUCGCGUCUGCUGUGAAAACUCAGGGCUUAACCCUGAGCCUGCAGUGGGUACGGGCAGACUAGAGUGUGGUAGGGGAGAUCGGAAUUCCUGGUGUAGCGGUGAAAUGCGCAGAUAUCAGGAGGAACACCGGUGGCGAAGGCGGAUCUCUGGGCCGAUACUGACGCUGAGGAGCGAAAGCGUGGGGAGCGAACAGG